rnacentral:rRNA from 1 species
UACGUAGGGUCCAAGCGUUAUCCGGAAUCACUGGGCGUAAAGCGUGCGUAGGUGGGAAUUUAAGUGUGAUGUUAAAUCGUGUGGCUAACCAUAUCGAUGCAUCGCAUACUGGGUUCCUAGAGGACGGCAGAGGCAAGUGGAAUUAGCAGUGUAGCAGUGAAAUGCGUAGAUAUUGCUAGGAACACCAAUGGCGAAGGCAGCUUGCUGGGCCACUCCUGACACUGAGGUACGAAAGCGUGGGGAGCGAACAGG